rnacentral:rRNA from 1 species
GACGAACGCUGGCGGCGUGCCUAAUACAUGCAAGUCGAACGCUUCUUUCCUCCCGAGUGCUUGCUCUCAAUUGGAAAGAGGAGUGGCGGACGGGUGAAUAACACGUGGGUAACCUACCCAUCAGAGGGGGAUAACACUUGUAAACAGGUUCUAAUACCGCAUAACAGUUUAUGCCGCAUGGCAUAAGAGUUAAAGGCGCUUUGGGGUGUCGUUGAUGGUUGGACCCGCGGUGCAUUAGCUAGUUGGCGAGGGAACGGCUCACCAAGGCCACGUGGCAUAGCCAGCCUUCGAGGGUGAUCGGCCCUACUGGGACUGAGACACGGCCCAGACUCCUGAGGGAGGCAGCAGUAGUGCAUCUUCGGCCAUGGACGAAAGUCUGACCGAGCAACGACGCGUGAGUCAAGAAGGUUUUCUGAUCGUAAAACUCUGUUGUUAGAGAAGCACCAGGCCGUUAGUACCUGAACGUCUCCUGACGGUAUCUAACCAGAAAGCCACGGCUAACUACGUG